GACGAACGCUGGCGGCGUGCUUAACACAUGCAAGUCGAACGGAAAGGCCUGCUUUCCCUUGUGGAUUGCGGGUACUCGAGUGGCGAACGGGUGAGUAACACGUGAGUGAUCUGCCCCCAACUUGGGUAUAGGCCUGGGAAACUGGGUCUAAUUCCCGAUAGGACUGCAGGGUGGUGCCUGUGGUGGAAAACGAUUUUCUAGUGGUUGGGGAUGAGCUCGCGGCCUAUCAGCUUGUUGGUGGGGUAAUGGCCUACCAAGGCGGCGACUGGUAGCCGGCCUGGGAGGGUGGACGGCGACAUUGGGAACGGGCUACGGCCCAGAAGCAGGCAGGAGGCGGCAGUCGGGAAUAUUGCGCGAUGGGUGGACGGAUGAAGCAGGGGCGAGGGAUGGGGGAUGACGGCCUUCAGGUUGUAAACUCCUGUCGAGAGCGAGUAAGUAAGCUGGUUGGAGGGUGGUGACGGUAGUGGUAGAAGAAGCAACGGCUAACUACGUG
rnacentral:rRNA from 1 species